UAUUUAUUUUACAUUGACAAUGUAUAUAAUUUAUUAAUCUCUUAUGUUUUACUGUGUUUUCUGUUCUGGCUUUAAAAUUUGGGGGCUAAGAAAAAGGUUGAGAUGCUCAUUGUUCAACUUUGCAGGUGUUGCUGAACUUAUUUUAAUUUCAAGAGCUUAUAUCACAAUAAUAUUAUUACUUUAUAACAUUAAGGUAAUCAACUGUGUCCAACAAAGUAUAGUAAAAUCAACUCAACAUUUCAGACUCAUAUAAAGAUGAGUUGAACUGCUGCAACCUUUGGUUGUAAGUGAAUAAUAUCAUAUAUAAAUAUUUGUAGCUAUGCAAGAAGGAACAAGCUAAUGGACAUGAUUUUUUUUAAUUUUCUAAGCACCACAGUACACUUCCUUGCUUGAACUCUUGAUGUUGUGCUUGGUUUGUCAGAGAAGCAGCUCUUUGUUUUGAUGAGAUUUUUUAGGAAUCUUGCAUUGUUUACUAUACUCACUUAGUUCUCUAUCUGCAAGGUGUAUGUUAGUUCCUAUUUUGGAUUUUAAUUAAUUUGUCUGUUCUUUUGAGUUGUUUCUUGUGGAUUUCUGAUUAUCCUAUAUGCAUGUAAAUGAUUUUGUUGUGAUUUGUGCAUACAUCCUUGAAGAUACAUAGGUGCAAUAGAGUUUAGUUAUAUCAUCAUGUUCUUAGAUGAUAUCAUUGCAGUGGUGUGACACUAAUUCUUGGAUGAUACUGAUUAAAGUGGUGUUGCGGUGGCAAUUGAAAUAAAAUUCAAUUUGUAAUUUGUGACACUCACUUUCUUUUAAGCUUUCACCUUCUAACGUGUGAACUAUAAGAAUAGACACGUGUAGUGCCUUUUUUGACAACUAUUCUUUCAAUGUUGACACAAAAAUUGACUUCAAACUGCUCCUCUUACGAUUUCAUUUCUCUCAGGCUGUUUUAGAGGUUGUGGUGAUCUCACCCCGUGAUGAUGUUGUGGAUGCGGGACAUUAGUUGUAGCAGUGCCUAAAGAUGAUACAAGCAAACCUUGCAAGCUGACUUCCUUCUUGGAUUAUAAGUUUGGAAUAACCCACAUUGUGAGAGAAGUUGAAAAACAUGUAUCAAGUAAAUUCGCCCUUUUAUUUAUAACAUUUCAGUCUGUAUUCACAAUUUUGACAUACAUUUAUUAUUUGGACUCGAGGUUGCUAGAGUUCUCCAACUACCUUUCAUUCCAAGGGGAGAUACUACUAUGUUGAUGCUAAAAAAUCAUUUUGACAUCUUAUUUGUUGAACUGUAAAACUCCACAAGAGAAAAACAUGUGAGAUGGAUGGUCAAAUGGUAGUAGUUGGUGUUGUUGGGUUUGUUAUGACAUUCUCCAAGGAAGAGACCAUUAUGAAGUACUGCUACAAAUAGGAAGCUGAUGAAAACUAAGGAAAUUCAGGCACAGUUGUAGAAACUGAACAAGUAUGUUUGUGUCAUCCAUGUGUUAACUCUCACAUGUAUCAAAUUUGAAUGUCAUCCCUUAUAUUUCGGGGUACCAUGGCUUGAAUAAGUUUAGCUAUAUAUAAAAAAUGUAUUUCAAUAAUCAUGUGUUUCUCCUAAAUCUUAUUUAGACCAACAUUCAUAUUAUCAGAUAAUUAUAUAAUAAAAGGUGAUGUAUGAAUUAGUUUUUAAUUGAUGUUUGCACCUCUUAGAGUUAAA